UGGGGAUAUAGCUCANCUGGGAGAGCGCCUGCCUUGCACGCANGAGGUCAGCGGUUCGAUCCCGCUUAUCUCCA
rnacentral:tRNA from 1 species